UACCCGUAUGUAGAAAUGACUUGUCGACAAUCGGUAAUGUUUAUAAAGGAAACGAAAAUGGAAAUUCUUUUUAACCAAAAAGUUUGAAGAUCUAUUUGUAUUUAUCUAUUCAAGGUCCAGUCAAUUUAUAACUAUAGACCCUUGUCCAGUCAAUGUGACCCUCGUCCAGUCAAUGUGACCCUCGUCCAGUCAAUGUGACCCUCGUCCAGUCAAUGUGACCCUCGUCCAGUCAAUGUGAUCCUUGUCCAGUCAAGUUGUUGUUAUAGGUCGGCAAAAGUGCAAUUGAUGUUUUUGUGUUUGAAGGAAAAAAUCACACCCUGUUUGUAGAAUACCUCAUUUAGGAUAUAAUGGAAUAUUGGAAUGAGAAACUUCUUGCAGAUGCUGGAAAUGGAGAUAUAGAAGCUUUAAAAUUAAGCCUAGAGAAUAAAGCAGACAUUGAUUAUCAAGAUGGUAGAGGAUGGACAGCAUUAAUGUGGGCUGCCAGUGAAGGACAGCUGGAGGUCUGUAGACUUCUCAUUGAUACAGGAUGUAAGAUCAACACCACAAAUGUAUGUUAUCUACUAAGUCUGAUCACA